rfam:Cajanus cajan chromosome 4, whole genome shotgun sequence.
CUGUUAAGUGAUGACAUGGCAGACGGACUGCCACGUCAUCACCCAAUAGUGUCUGCCAUGUCAUCUAAGGGACUGCCAUAUGGACAUGUUGAUGAUGUGGCAAAUACUGUUGGAUGAUGACGUGGCAGUCCGUCUGCCAUGUCAUCACUUGACAGUA